rnacentral:miRNA from 1 species
GGGUUGGAUGGAUUUGAAC